AUUGAACGCUGGCGGCAGGCUUAACACAUGCAAGUCGAAUGAGUGGCGGACGGGUGAGUAAUGCUUGGGAAACUAGCUUAUGGAGGGGGAUAACUACGGGAAACUGUAGCUAAUACCGCGUACCAUAGGAUGAGCCCAAGGGGGAUGAGGGAGUUGGUGGGGUAAAGGCUCACCAAGCCGACGAUCCCUAGCUGGUCUGAGAGGAUGACCAGCCACACUGGGACGUAGACACGGCCCAGACUCCGACGGGAGGCAGCAGUGGGGAAUAUUGCGCAAUGGGGGCAACCUGACGCAGCCAUGCCGCGUGAAGGAAGAAGGCCUUCGGGUUGUAAAGUUCUUUCGGUAGCGAGGCGUUACCUACAGAAGAAGCACCGGCUAACUCCGUGCCAGCAGCCGCGGUAAUAC
rnacentral:rRNA from 1 species